rnacentral:rRNA from 1 species
GAUGAACGCUAGCGGCAGGCCUAAUACAUGCAAGUCGAACGGUGUCUUCGGACAUAGUGGCGCACGGGUGCGUAACACGUAUGCAACCUACCUUACAUUGGGGGAUAGCCUUUCGAAAGAGAGAUUAAUACCGCAUAAGACAGUAACAUGGCAUCAUGUAGUUGUUAAAGAUUUAUCGAUGUAAGCUGGGCAUGCGUCCAAUUAGUUAGUUGUUGAGGUAACGGCUCACCAAGACGAUGAUUGGUAGGGGAACUGAGAGGUCAAUCCCCCACACUGGCACUGAGAUACGGGCCAGACUCCUACGGGAGGCAGCAGUAGGGAAUAUUGGGCAAUGGGCGCAAGCCUGACCCAGCCAUGCCGCGUGCAGGAAGAAGGCGUUCUGCGUUGUAAACUGCUUUUAUAUAGGAAGAAACGACCCUUGCGAGGGGCAUUGACGGUAUUAUAUGAAUAAGCACUGGCUAACUCCGUGCCAGCAGCCGCAGUAAUAC